rnacentral:misc_RNA from 1 species
UUUAUUUUUUUUUUAUCUCACUGGAAAUAGAAAAAAAAUAAUUUUUUGCAAAAAUAUAAUAAAUUAGCAGUUAUUUAAUGAACCUGCAUUUUUCUUAAUAUCCCGACAGAGCAUAGGAUUUUUCUUUUUCGUGCAUUUUCAAUAUCCAAACAGAGCGUUGAUUUCUUUUUUUCUUAAUUUUUUAAGUUGUCGAUGUGGGAUAGCUGUUAAAAUAAAUUUCAAGUUCACAGUGUGGACGUUACCAUAUUUAUGGGGUUUGUAUAGAAUUUAGAUAGUGAGAUGACGUUUGCAGUUUGAAUAUUGGUUUCCUUUUUUUUUUUUCCCUAGUUUAAUCGUUACCAUUUUUUCGUGUUUCUUGACUUUGUUGUAAUGGUUGAUUGUAACAACCUUGCAUCAUAUGAAUAGGGAGUUUGCUUUUGCAUGGAGCUCAGUAGCUCAGUUGAUUGUUCACCCAAGUAGUCCUCCAGUCAAUUUAUCCUUCUUCAAUCCCACCACCAUUUUAACAAUCGCCAAUCCUAAUAAAUUACAUAAUAAAAAAACAUAAAUUUCUGCAUUUUCUUAAAUUUGCUACUUUCUGCUCGAGUUAAUGACACGUUUAAUUCGUUAUAAUGCCAAAAUGAAUAAAUAAUCUUUAUCUAGUCUUCCUGGAGUCGCAAUGUUAGAAUGUAAGUAAUUUGAUAUGUUAGCAAAAUGUUAAUGAGGACGUUAAAAAUAUUCAAACAAAGGUGAGAGAUCAAUAUUAAGUGAUUGAAAGAGUGAAUUGUAAUUUGUUUAUCACUAUGCUAUGGCCUAUAGUGCUUCCUUGGGUAAGCAAGUCAGCUGGUGGUGUUCCUGUAGAUUAAUCACACAAUGCAGGUAAAAGAAAUUGUUUCAGGAAAGUUAACACGAGGAAUUUGGAAAGGAGAAGUAUGGUAAAGGGAUUGACUCUCAAGAAAGCAUCAAACUGUCGGAAAUGGAAGUGAGAAGAACAUGGAGAAAACCCUCAGAUUAAAAUCAUGGAUUUGGAAAAGUAUGAUGCAAAAUGCGAUUCCUCCUUAUAAGUGGAGUGGUCUGUAUGACUAUACUUCCAGAGGGGCUGGCAUGUCUUUUCUGUGUAGUUAUUAGAUAUCAAAAAGAUUGCAAGCUCAAUGCAGUUGAAAGAACCUUGUUUAGUAGAUGUUGAUUUCUCCAAAAUUUAAGACAUUUUCUUACACAGUGUGAGGGAAAUCAAUUGCAAGAUGUUACAAAAGUUUCCCUUCCUAUUUUGAGUUUUAUAAUAAUUGUA